rnacentral:rRNA from 1 species
GAUGAACGCUAGCUACAGGCUUAACACAUGCAAGUCGAGGGGAAACGAUAUUGGAAGCUUGCUUCCGAUAGGCGUCGACCGGCGCACGGGUGAGUAACGCGUAUCCAACCUGCCCGUCACUUGGGAAUAACCUUGCGAAAGUAAGACUAAUGCCCAAUGACAUUUAUAGAAGGCAUCUGAAAUGAAUUAAAGAUUUAUCGGUGAUGGAUGGGGAUGCGUCUGAUUAGCUUGUUGCGGGGUAACGGCCCACCAAGGCGACGAUCAGUAGGGGUUCUGAGAGGAAGGUCCCCCCACAUUGGAACUGAGACACGGUCCAAACUCCUACGGGAGGCAGCAGUGAGGAAUAUUGGGUCAAUGGGCGAGAGCCUGAACCAGCCAAGUAGCGUGCAGGAAGACGGCCCUAUGGGUUGUAAACUGCUUUUAUAAGGGAAUAAAGUGGGUCACGUGUGACUUUUCGCAUGUACCUUAUGAAUAAGGACCGGCUAAUUCCGUG